rnacentral:lncRNA from 1 species
ACCCAUAUAAAAAAGAAAUAUUUUUUCUAGCUUGCAACAAAAAAUGAAAUAAAACUAGAAGAUUAGCUAGUAAUCUUGAUGUUAUUGGAUUUUAACUAGUAUUUGUAGAAAAUUCAGUGACUUGAAGAUUUAAGAAUAUACCUUAUCAUCAAUGAAUUUGGCCCAAAAACGCGCAGUGGCCCUUUGGUGAGGAUCUUUGGGCAAAAGGGGUGUGCCUGAUUUCCAGGUCUCAUCAAUGUACUCAAGAAUGACUAGAGACUCGGCUAUUGGGUUUCCAUUGUGCAACAACACAGGAAUCUUCUUAUGGACAGGGUUGUAUUUGAGAAGCAGAGGACUCUUGUUAGAAAGAUCUUCUUCAACAUAUUCAUAUUCCACUCCCUUCAAUUUUAGAGCAAUUUCCACUCUAUUGCUGAAUGGACUUCGCCGUAAACCAAACAGCUUCACUACUUGAUCCGCCAUUGUUACAAUUUUUGCUUCUUAACACUAUGAGAGACUGUAUAUGUAUAUGUAUUUGUGCUCUGCAAGUUCAAUGUUGGUUUGUUUGUUUUUUUUAUCUCUUGGCUUGAGUUCUUUUUAUAUACACUUUUACUUGGCCAAUAAGCUACAGAAAACUAUAAUACUCCCUCCGUCCCAUGAUAAAAGUCAUUAUUGGAUAGUCCCAUGUUAAAUGUCCAUUUUCCUUUAAUAACCAAACUUUUACACAUUUUCCUAUUAUACCCGUAGCAUUAAAUAUCUCAUACUUUUCUUAUUCUAAUUCUCUCUCCAUAUUUAAUGACAUUAUUAUAGACAAUUUUGUCAUUUUAUUCAUCUUCUUAAUAUGCGUAAAAAGUCCACCAGAACUUUUAUCCUGGACGGAGGAAGUAUAUUUAUAUUCUAUAGUAGUUUUAAGUUGAAUUUUCUUUCGGACAUGGAGAUCAAGUUGAAUCAUAGCAUUAAUGAACUGUUUACUUGAAGAAGUAAGUGACCUAUGGGAUGACCUCAGGCUCAGCCACCUUUCAAAGAUUUUUUUUUCUUUUCUCUUAUAAUUGAAUAAAGGUUUUCUGGUUUUUUGGGUUUCUUCUUUUGUUUCUGUUCACUACUUUACUCGAAAGUCUUUGGUUUAUUGGACAUGUUAAUUUGGAGAAAAAAUUGAAUUGAACUGGAUUGAUCAAUACAGUGUCGACAUGCAGACAUAAGGUAAUUUUUUUGCGUGUCAAUACACUGUAUUGGUCAAUUGACCAACUUACCAUGAAAUUAACGUCAUAGCAACCGAAUUCGAAUUAAACAGAGAGAGUAAAUUAUUAUCAAGUAUCACACAUUCACAUAAUCAUAUUAGCCUUUACUUCUAGGUCAUCAAGUGGUGAUCCACAAAUUUCUUUUUUGCAUAAUAGUUGAUGAGGAGUUAUCAGUGUUACAUUUAAUAUUUUUUUCCUCAUUUCAUAUAUUUCGGCCUUUUAUUUGGAUGAUACUUAGUUCUUCUUACCUCAAUCUUGUUGGCUUCUUCUGUUCAUUUGAUUCAUAAGAACAGUUUGAAGAAAAACUGAAACAAUUGAUCCUCUCUUCUACUUUUUCUUUUCAAGUUUUAUUUUCAGCUGUUUAUUAUGAACUAUAUCAUGAACUAUAUUUAGUUUAAAUGACAUCAAUCCAUGAGAUAGUUUUUCAAUUCUUUCAGCAGAUGGACUAUCACAUGGACUAAAAUAUUAAAAGAUUAUAUUAAAUUUAAUAAAUUAUAGUCUACCAAUCAUUCUUCCACACUCCUAUCUAAAUAUACUAAAAAUUAUAGUCCACUACAAUCAGAUUCCUUGAUAUAGUCUUUUGGAUUCACCGAAAAAUCUUCUAGACUAUAUUUAGUCUAGCUGCUGAGUUCUGGACUAUAUUUAGUCUAGGGUUGAUUGAUGGAGCUCUGGCCUACUGGAGAGGGACUUAUGGAUGUUGAUGAAUGAACAAGCAGAAGCUUGGUGAAACUUCUGUGGUGCUUAAAGGGACUGAUUGACCUGGGAAAAAUCAGAGUCUUUCCUUAUUGAGUCCAUUUUAGACAAUUCAAUUGGAAUUUGAUAGAAACUUUGAAUUGGAAUAUACUGACAAACUCUUGUUUAAUUAAGUCAAAAACUACUAAAUGUAAACUUGUGAAAGUGAAAUUACUUCAACAAGUUCUUUAGCAUAACAUAGCCUACUACAUAGUACAUACUCGGAAACAAAAACAAGACUUUGGGUACCUAACUUAGAAUAACUUAUUGACCUUGUUUUUUUACCUCAAUUUAAACGGAAUCCAAGCUAAUGGAAACCCGUAUGACAAAAUGAAAUUAUUUCAAGAUAUUCUUGAACAUGACACAGUAGUAAAAACAUGAAACAUCGUAAAAAACUACAAACGAUAGCUUGUAAAAUUCAGUGUUCAAACUGCAGCAUAUGCAACACAACAUUAUCAGCCAUGUACUAAUCAAUUUGAAGCAUUUCAGGGUUAGAAAUGGGAUUGGAAAAAGGAGAGCAGAUCAGCUCUAGGGGGCAAAGUUUCCUUUAUUAUGCUGCAGUUCAAGUAAUCAUCAAUCCAUUCACAUAAUUUGGGAAACUUCUCUUUUGUCAACAAUUCGAACCCCAUUGCCUCUUGAAUAACUAGCCAAAAGCCUAUGACAUUAGCAGUAAUGUCAACCAGUCCAAUACUAUCUCCUCCAAAGAACUUCUUGUCUUUCAGUUCAUUUUCGAGUGUUUUUAGGAGCUCACUAGCUUCUUCAAUUGACUUCUCUUGUUCCUCGCCUUUGCUAGUCAUAACCUUCAUUAUGGCAGCCGAGCACUGAAAAAAAAACAAAUGAAUUAGUUUUAUUUUAUUUUAUUUUGUAAAAAAGGGGAAAUAAAACUGGGAGUGGUUAGCAUGAAGUUAAUUUUGGUCAAUUCACCAAUACAGUGUCUACACGCAGGCCGGGAGGUGAUCUCUCUCCUUGCGUGUUAGCACUGUAUUGGUCAAUUGACCAACUUACGAUGAAGUUAACUUCAUGGUAACCGGAUCCAAUAAAACUAGUAAACGAAAAGAUGGACAAAGAAUAUACCUUAUCUUCAAUGAAUUUGGCCCAGAAGCGGGCAGUGGCCCUUUGGUGAGGAUCUUUAGGCAGAAGGGGUGUGCCUGAUUUCCAGGUCUCAUCAAUGUACUCAAGUAUGACAAGAGAUUCGGCUAUCGGGUUCCCAUUGUGCAAGAGUAUAGGAACUUUUUUAUGAACAGGGUUGUACUUGAGAAGGGAAGGACUCUUGUUUUUGAGAUCUUCUUCUAUGUAUUCAUAUUCCACC